rnacentral:rRNA from 1 species
UACGUAGGCAGCGAGCGUUGUUCGGAGUUACUGGGCGUAAAGGGUGUGUAGGCGGUUGUUUAAGUUUGGUGUGAAAUCUCCCGGCUCAACUGGGAGGGUGCGCCGAAUACUGAAUGACUUCGAGUGCGGGAGAGGAGAGUGGAAUUCCUGGUGUAGCGGUGAAAUGCGCAGAUAUCAGGAGGAACACCAAUGGCGAAGGCAGCUCACUGGGACAGUAUUGACGCUGAGACGCGAAAGCGUGGGGAGCAAACAGG